CCCUUAGAUGUUCUGGGCUGCACGCGCGCUACACUGAUGCGCUCAACGAGUUUACGAACUUGCCCGGAAGGGUUGGUUAAUCUUUUUAAAACGCAUCGUGAUGGGGAUAGAUUAUUGCAAUUAUUAAUCUUCAACGAGGAAUUCCUAGUAGACGUAGUUCAUCAGACUGCAUCGAUUACGUCCCUGCCCUUUGUACACACCGCCCGUCGCUCCUACCGAUUGAAUGCUCAGGUGAGCCAUUCGGACUUUCAUCAUGCUGGUUUCCAGUUUUGAUGAAGGAAAGUCUUGCGAACCUUAUCAUUUAGAGGAAGGAGAAGUCGUAACA
rnacentral:rRNA from 1 species